CAGCACCUCAAGUGGUCAGGAUGAUUAUUGGGCCUAAAGCAUCCGUAGCCUGCUUUGUUAGUUUUCGGUUAAAUCCAUACGCUUAACGUAUGGGCUGCCGGGAAUACUGCAAAGCUAGGGAGUGGGAGAGGUAGACGGUACUCGGUAGGAAGGGGUAAAAUCCUUUGAUCUAUUGAUGACCACCUGUGGCGAAGGCGGUCUACCAGAACACGUCCGACGGUGAGGGAUGAAAGCUGGAGGAGCAAACCGGAUUAGAUACCCGAGUAGUCC
rnacentral:rRNA from 1 species